GUUUUAUGUCAUGUUCCGUACACUUAAACUCCAUCCUGGUCUACUAUCAAAAGUUCACGGCACCUUCCGCUUAAUUUCGACUCGGUAUUGCUCGAUGGAGAGUGAUAAAGGCACAGAUCGAGGUUCAAGCCCUGGUGGCUAUUCCGUGGUCUCUGUGAGUUUUUUAAUCAUUUUUAAUCAAUCAUAUUUGUUCUUUAUUUAAGAUAGCAAUAUGAGUACUGGCAUCAUCUUGAUUAUGGGUUUGAUAAAAAAAAAUGAUGCUUUUUCAUGGUAAAAGGUAUAAAUUCAUCGUAAUUUAUAGUAAACCAGAACGUUGGUUGUUCGAUUUGACUAUUUCGUCCAUGAAAUUGGGAAUUCAAUCACUUUUAUUGCUCAAUUCAACUUUGCAUAGAAGCAGGGCUCUUCUUCACCUGGCAAAAACGAUUCUUCUUCUCAUGCUGAGAGAAAUAAACUAGGGAAUUACUCAGCAAAAACAACUCCCAAGAAGUUCAACGUUUCUGAGUCUAGGGCUGCGCCUGAUCGUAUCUAUAGAAAAGAGCAUUCCGCACACACUAGUACCAGCACUGAUUUGAGCUCUAAUCAUGGAUAUUUGAAUAGAAGAAGAACUAGAGUUGAUCUUGGAUCACAGGAGUGGAAUGUGGAUAUCAACUCAUCCCAAAUUGGGAUGUCCCCCAUGGCAAAUUGUACAAGUGACCAAUGCAAAUUUUCUCUGUCCACUCAAUUUGGGAAGAAGAGCACAACAGCUCAUGCUAAAAGAUCCAAGCCUCACCAAAGCUAUUUCAUGUGUCAUGUAAAUGAGGAUUUUCCGAAGGCUAAACCAUUUGAUGUGUGCUUUCCCAAAAGAAGAAAUGCUAGUGUCUUGGAAGCUUCAUUGUAUGAAAUGCAUGAAGAAAACCGGAAAAAGGUAGGGUGCACCAUUCAAGGGACUAAACAAGGAGUUUUGCGACCUGGGAUGGUUCUGCUAAAGCAUUACAUCCCCCACAAUUGCCAGGUGCUGCUUACUUAAUAGUCAAUGCUUACUCUUCUACUGUGUGAACUACUUUCAAAAGCAAGUUGUAAUUGGUAGUGCAAAAUUACUAUGCUAUAUAUAAUACUCAAUUGAGGACGUGAUAAUACUUAUAGCGAGAAGUUUAAUGAGACCUAUGUUUUGGACAAUUAGGUGUAUUGGUGAACAUUUUGUCACUUUGGUGCUUCUCCUUAUAAGCCAGUGGACCAAUGAAUAUAAAUUUCACUGUUAGCUGUCAUUUGCAAGUGGAACAUUUUAAAUCAGAAUCCUAAUUGAUGUUACCCAUUCUUUAGGAGUUGAGAAAACUAAUUAUGUUUUUGGAGUUUUCUAUUAUCAAGCAUCAUUUCUUAUUUUUGCAUCUGAUGACAACCUAAUCAAAUGGCUGAACAGGUGAGCAACCAAACAACCGAAUAGAUGAGUAGCCGAAGACAAUUAAUUAUUCAAAUAGAAACAAGCUGUCCUACAUACAGAGUGCAGAUUUGCACAAAGCUAUGGCUUAAGGAUAUAUUCUUAGUUCAUGGGUAACUACAUAGGAUAGAGUUCUCCAACUAAGAUAAGGAUAGACUUUACGAAAGACGGUUCUAUAAAACUAUGCUAGAUUUCAAGGCAUAACUAAAUAUGUAUAGAAUCUCUCAAGAUAGUCAAUAAGCUUUAAAAUCCUCCAUUAUUCAUUAUUCAUUAACUUGAGAGCUAACUUAGCCAUUGCGUGGACUCCCUAUCAGAGCUGGGAUUCCUCGUUCACCUAUUCUUAUUGCAAUUUGAAAUUUUCCCUGCUUAGAGAUCGUUAGCCAUCUCUUGUAAUUGUCCUUUGUUUGACUCUCUACCCGUCAUAAUGUUUCAGGUGAAAAUAGUGAAGACUUGCCGAGAACUUGGUCUAGGCCCUGGGGGAUUUUAUAGGCCUAGUUACCGAGAUGGGGCAAAACUUCAUCUACAAAUGAUGUGUCUUGGUCUGAACUGGGAUCCUGAGACAAGAAAAUAUGAAGAUCGGCGAAGGGUUGAUGGUUGUGAGCCACCUGGUAUUCCUUGUGAAUUUAAUCUAUUGGUUAAAAGAGCAAUUCAAGAUGCACAUGCCCUUAUUAGAACAAAUUGCAACUUAAGCAAUGCUGAAGAAGUAAUUCCUGUAAUAUCUCCAAAUAUAUGUAUUGUGAACUUCUAUACAACCAGUGGACGACUUGGGCUCCAUCAAGAUCGUGAUGAAAGCACAGAAAGUCUUCGCAAAGGAUUACCUGUUGUGUCUAUCUCCGUCGGUGACUCUGCAGAAUUCCUGUAUGGGGAUCAGAGGGAUGUGGACAAAGCACAGAAAGUUGUACUGGAAUCAGGAGAUGUAUUAAUCUUUGGUGGUAAGUCUAGACAUAUAUUUCAUGGUGUGACAUCUAUCAUCCCAAAUUCCGCUCCCAAGGCUCUAUUAGAAGAAACUGGACUUCGUUCCGGCCGUCUCAACCUUACUUUCAGACAGUUCUGAAAAGCCUUUGAUGUAGUUGUUUAUCUAGAUAUGCAGCUGAUUGAGGUCAUAUGCAUUGUGAGCACAGUUCAUAAUUGUUCUAGUGUAUGUUCUGGAUAAUUGUUUGUUUCUGCAGCUAUGAUUUUUUAAUUUUAGUAAUGAAGAGAAAUGAACAAUUAUGGUAGGCAUGCCAAGUUAUCUUGCCAAAAAUUGUUGAC
rnacentral:misc_RNA from 1 species